AACAUGGCCAUACAGCCUGAAAGAUUCACAGCAACCCAGAAGGUGCAUCGUUCAGGUGCAAUUGCAAUUUACCUACCCCAUGUGAUAAAGCUCUAAGUGGCCACUCUGUCUUGCCAUCAUGUUCUACUUGUGAGCUUCUUGAAGGCAUUUUGCUGCCUACUGAGAGAAGCAGGAUGCUGGAAAAGAUAGACCUUGGAAUUGAUCCAGCAGAGCUCUGCUUAUGAAAGAAAAAAAGAAAAUGAGAGAGACAGAGACAGAAAAAAACCUGAGAAGUGCACACCGUCACUUUGACACCCGGACGUCUAAAAGUAAGUUACAUAAACUAUAUAAAACUGUAUAAAUUUAUAAAUGGUGUGAAGAAAGCAGAUAAGAAGAAGAAGACUUUUUCUCCCUCUGUGAUAAUAUUAGAAACCUGGGUCAUCCCCUGAAGCUAAAUCAUGAGAGAUUCAGGACACAUAAAAGGAAGUGUUGCUUCACACAGCACAUUGUUAACCUGCAGCAUCCACAGCCACAGGAACGAAUGAUGGCAGCCAACUUAACAAUGUUAUUAACAGAUCUGUUUGUAUUGUUUUGUUUUUAUGAUUGCAAUUCAGGCAUUAAAUUUUGCCAAUUUUUGUAAGCCGCCCUGAGUCCCCUCGGGUGAGAAGGGCGGGGUAUAAGUGUUGUAAAUAAAUAAAUAAUAAAUAAACUUGGACAGGUAUAAAAGUAUAAUGGACACACCUAUGGAUGAUGGGGCUGCUGAGGGCUAUUAGUCAUAAUUUUUAAAAUUUAUAUACUGUAAUUUCAUAUUGUAUUUAAUUGUUUUUAAUAAUUCUAUUAUUAUUCUAUUAUUGUAGUAUAUUAUGAUAUUAUUACUAUUAUUAUAUUAUUGUUAUAUUAUUCAUUAUUCGUGACUACAUUGAAACUGGAAUAGAGAAAAAUCAGCGUGGAAACUGCAAGAGGUACCAUAGAUUGUUGUACAUGGAAAUAAUGGUAGUAAAUAGUUAUGAUUUAUUAAAUACAGUUAUAUAUUACAAUUAUAUAUUUUUGUCAUUUAAACUAUACAUAUUGCAAAAUUAUGUUUUUUUUCUCGAAGUGACACACCACCCAAGUCAUGCUAGGUUUUUUGGUGAAUUUUGACACACCAAGCGCAAAAGGUUGCCCAUCAUUGAUGUAGGAGGAAGGUCUACAAAGAUUAAAUCCAUUACCUGUCACAGGUGUGUCUCCUCUUUUAGAUCCUAUUUACAGGAUUAUCUUUUUUUUCUAACUUGUUUCAGUAUAUGGACCUAAAUAAAUGCAUCAGUCUAGUAAAUUAGAUUUUCAGCAUGCAUCCACACCUCAGGGAAGCUAGGGAUACCAGAUGGCAAAUCUAAAGAAGGUUCCUGUACCUUUAGAAGUUGUGUAGAAAAGGGAGUUUCAGCUGGUGUUGCUUCUCAUGCAACCAGGAAACAAGCAACAUCAGCCCUCUUCUACAAAACCAUUAAAGGUACAGCAUGGCUAAACUGAGGCAGUCAUACUUUGGUUAUAUCAUGAGAGGACACGAUUCUCUAGAAAAGACCAUAAUGAUUGGUGAUGUAGAAGACAGAAGGAAAAGGAGAAAAUGAUGAUCCAGAUGGAACAGUUGAAUACAGUAGACAAAGAGGAAAAGUGUAUUCUAGAUAGAUAGACUCAAACAAGAAAGGUACAGCUGUGUUGAGUCUGCAAACCCUGACCUGGACUGCUGAUGACAGGUUGAUCUGGAGAUGUUUCAUCCAUAUGGUUGCCAUAAGUCAGUUGACUUGAUGGCAGUUGACUACAACAACUCUUUCAAGUUUUCACUCUAGCAGCCCUGUUGAAGCUCACCUCAAAGUUCUUCAUGCAAGGAUGGGUUGAGGAAUCUGUAAUUUUGCAGGCAAUAUCCGGUAUCUCGGACAGCAUAGUGACGUAAAGCCUGUGUAGCAUCAAACUACAGCUUUCUUCUUUUUGCAUGUGACUGUGUGUCUCAUUGACACUCUCAGUGGUGUCCUUCUCAGAAAUGAGAUAAAUAUAUGACUGUUAUUAUGAAGCAUAUGUUUUCAUCCAUGUUUCCUUCUGUUCUUAUGGCACUCAGAAAUGGAUUCCAGGCAAUGAGAGAAAUCUGACGGAGGAUUUGAUCAUUACUAUGUUCCCCACUUCCAAGGCUCACAUUUUAAGUCCACCAUUCUGGGUGUGUAGGAACAAAGAAAGGGGCUGAAAAGUCUUCAGAUUUGCUGGUAAUAUUAGAACUCAGCGAAAUUCCCAAUCCAAUGGGAAAAGACAAGAGUGGUACAAGUUGAAGUCUGGGAUAUAUUCUGUGAGUGGGAGAGCUGUGGAGGGUGUCAAAACACAUUGUGAGAAGAACUUCUUUUUCAGAGGCUUUGUUAACCAAGGACCAGCUGCUGGUUAUGAUGCAGCUCCUUUUUGCUCCAUUCCGCCUGGCCAAAUAGGUGUGCCAAGGAUUUGGUCCCCACAAACAAUGAAGUAGCAAGAUGGAGAAGUAAAGAACGGAUGAGAAUACAAGACUUUCUGCCAGGCAGACAGACUCUGCUCUUUUCUCCCCUUGACAGCUGGGCCUGGAAUCUAAUCUCCUGCCCUGGGUAAUAACCAGCACCUGUCCCCAGCUCAGUCAUCUUAAGCAUUGAUUCCAGCAAGAGGACUCCCUUGGCAUCUGUGGGUCAGAUUAAUCACUUGAGGGAGGGAGAAGGAAGGGGGGCAUGUGCUGCCUUGGAGAUUUUGUACCAUAUGUCGGCUUCUUUAUUUGCCGGCCUUAGAACUGCAAGAACUCUAUGGAUCUUGAACUUGGCCAAGGCUUGAACUAGACUCUGGGAGAUGGGCCUGCGAUCAGUUUCACAUGAUAUAGCUAUACUACUCUGGAUCCAAUUUAAUUGAUUCAAUUCCAUAGGAUGUAGCCAGGGCAGCUAAAGUGGGAUCGUAGUGCUCGAACUGUGCAGUGUGGAAGAGCCUGGGAUGAAGUGUUUGAUUUGUAUGGAAGGACUACAUCAGUGGUUCUCAACCUGGGGUUCCCAGAUGUUUAUUUAUUUGCCCCAUUAAUACCCCACCUUUCUCACCCCGAAGGGGACUCAAGGCGGCUGUUUUUGGCCUACAACUCCCAGAACUCCCAGCCAGUUUACUAGCUGUUAGGAUUUCUGGGCACUGAAGAUCAAAAACAUCUGGAGGUUGAGAACCAUUGGACUAAAUGCUUCUGAAGCAAACAGCAUUUUUCAAAUGGGCUGGGCUGUGGUGCAGGCUGGUCAGCAGCCUGCUGCAAUAAAUUACUCUGACCAUGAGGUCAUGAGUUCGAGGCCAGCCCGUGGCGGGGUGAGCACCUGUCAAUAAAUAAAUAAAU